rfam:Papilio xuthus contig17449, whole genome shotgun sequence.
CAUAAAUGAUGUAAAAACAUUUCCUGAAAUACCAUGAGGUACACAAAUAUACGAGCUUUUUAACACUGAUAUUG